rnacentral:SRP_RNA from 1 species
GCCGGGUGUGGUGGUGGGCGCCUGUAAUCCCAGUUACUGGGGAGGCUGAGGCAGGAGGAUCGCUGGAACCCAGGAGGUGGAGGUUGCAGUGAGCCAAGAUCGUGCCACUGCACUCCAGCCUGGGUGACAGAGCGAGACUCCGUCUCAA